UUGGUUAAGUUAGAAAGGGCGCACGGUGGAUGCCUUGGCACUAGGAGCCGAAGAAGGACGGGACUAACACCGAUAUGCUUUGGGGAGCUGUACGUAAGCGUUGAUCCAGAGAUUUCCGAAUGGGGGAACCCACUAUCUUUAGUCGGAUAGUAUCCUUACGUGAAUACAUAGCGUGAGGAAGGCAGACCCAGGGAACUGAAACAUCUAAGUACCUGGAGGAAGAGAAAGAAAAAUCGAUUUCCUGAGUAGCGGCGAGCGAAACGGAAAGAGCCCAAACCAAGAAGCUUGCUUCUUGGGGUUGUAGGACACUCUAUACGGAGUUACAAAAGAAAGUUAUAAAUGAAGCGGUCUGGAAAGGCCCGCCAAAGACGGUAACAGCCCGGUAGUUGAAAUGGCUUUCCCUCCAGAGUGGAUCCUGAGUACGGCGGAACACGUGAAAUUCCGUCGGAAUCCGGGAGGACCAUCUCCCAAGGCUAAAUACUCCCUAGUGACCGAUAGUGAACCAGUACCGUGAGGGAAAGGUGAAAAGCACCCCGGAAGGGGAGUGAAACAGUUCCUGAAACCGUGUGCCUACAAGUAGUUAGAGCCCGUUAAUGGGUGAUAGCGUGCCUUUUGUAGAAUGAACCGGCGAGUUACGAUUUGUUGCAAGGUUAAGCGGAAAAAGCGGAGCCGUAGCGAAAGCGAGUCUGAAUAGGGCGCAUAAGUAACAGGUCGUAGACCCGAAACCAGGUGAUCUACCCAUGUCCAGGAUGAAGGUAAGGUAAUACUUACUGGAGGUCCGAACCCACGCACGUUGAAAAGUGCGGGGAUGAGGUGUGGGUAGCGGAGAAAUUCCAAUCGAACUUGGAGAUAGCUGGUUCUCUCCGAAAUAGCUUUAGGGCUAGCCUCGAGGUAAAGAGUCAUGGAGGUAGAGCACUGUUUGGACUAGGGGCCCUUCUCGGGUUACCG
rnacentral:rRNA from 1 species